rnacentral:rRNA from 1 species
CCUACGGGAGACAGCAGUGAGGAAUAUUGGUCAAUGGACGCAAGUCUGAACCCGCCAUGCCGCGUGCAGGAAGCCGGCUCUAUGAGUUGUAAACUGCUUUUGUACGAGGGUAAACGCAGAUACGCGUAUCUGUCUGCAAGUCUCGUACGAAUAAGGAUCGGUUACCUCUGUGCCAGCAGCCGCGGUAAUACGGAGAAUUCAAGCGUUAUCCGGAUUUAUUGGGUUUAAAGGGUGCGUAGGCGGGCGGAUAAGUUAGAGGUGAAAUCCAGAGGCGCAACUUCGGAAGUGCCUCUGAUACUGUGCGGCUACAGAGUAGUUGCGUGAGGCGGAAUGUAUGGUGUAGCGGUGAAAUGCUUAGAGAUCAUACAGAACACCGAUUGCGAAGGCAGCUUACCAAGCUACUUCUGACGUUGAGGCACGAAAGCGUGGGGAGCAAACAGGAUUAGAUACCCGUGUAGUC